rnacentral:rRNA from 1 species
UACGGGGGGGGCAAGCGUUGUUCGGAAUUACUGGGCGUAAAGGGUUCGUAGGUGGCCGACUAAGUCAGACGUGAAAUCCCUCAGCUCAACUGGGGAACUGCGUCUGAGACUGGCCGGCUUGAGUGCAGGAGAGGAACGCGGAAUUCCAGGUGUAGCGGUGAAGUGCGUAGAUAUCUGGAGGAACACCGGUGGCGAAGGCGGCGUUCUGGACUGCAACUGACACUGAGGAACGAAAGCCAGGGGAGCAAACGGG